rnacentral:rRNA from 1 species
UGGGGAAUUUUGGACAAUGGGCGCAAGCCUGAUCCAGCCAUGCCGCGUGAGUGAAGAAGGCCUUCGGGUUGUAAAGCUCUUUCGGCGGGGACGAAAUGGUUCGUGCCAAUACCACGGACUGAUGACGGUACCUGAAGAAGAAGCACCGGCUAACUACGUGCCAGCAGCCGCGGUAAUACGUAGGGUGCGGGCGUUAAUCGGAAUUACUGGGCGUAAAGCGUGCGCAGGCGGUUUGUUAAGACAGAUGUGAAAUCCCCGGGCUUAACCUGGGAACUGCGUUUGUAACUGGCAGACUGGAGUGUGGCAGAGGGGGGUGGAAUUCCAAGUGUAGCAGUGAAAUGCGUAGAUAUUUGGAGGAACACCGAUGGCGAAGGCAGCCCCCUGGGCUAACACUGACGCUCAUGCACGAAAGCGUGGGGAGCAAACAGGAUUAGAUACCCCUGUAGUCCCUGAGCGGGCUGGCAAGGCGCAU